GGGAUGAGAUUGGUAUAUGCAGGGAUAUACCCAUAUAUAUGACGCCUCUUUCCUUACAAGGAAGAAGUCACAGGUUCAAAUCCUGUAGCGCCCA
rnacentral:tRNA from 1 species